AGCUGUUGAUUGCACUACUAUGUCUUUGAUCAAUACAGUGUGUACUUAAGCUGAUAGUUUAUAUUAUAUUAGCAUCCAGCUAGAAAGAGUUAUAAUUGAUACUAUAUCUAAGUCAUUAUAAUCACUAAUAACAUGCAUAGGUUAACACAUAAACAUGAAAGCCAAAAUUACGGGGUCGUUUUUCCCACAGGCAGGGAGCUGGGCUGCAGCGGCUGCAGAGCCACCGGGGCACCGGAGAGCUCCUGGAGGCUGCGCUUGUGUCUGGGCAGCGGGGACAGCGCAGCCACAGCUCUGCUCCCUGGGCAUGGGCUGAGCAGAUUGCAGGGCCGGCUCUGCUUCUGGCAGCCAGCAGCUCUUUCCUGUUCCAGGCAAACGGUUCAGGUGCCACCCCGUGGGCACAGCGGUGCUGAUUCUGCUGCUCCUGGUGCUGGCACUGGCUUUGGGGGCGGCCGUGGCUGUGCUGGCAGCACGACAGGUUCCAGUCACACCUGCGACUCCGCCAUCAGUUCUGGGCUGUCCCUUUGACUGGGUUGGGUACAAGGGGUUCUGCUACAACUUGUCAAGGGAUAACUGCACCUGGGAGCAGGCUCAGGAACGGUGCUCCAAGCUGAACGCCUGCCUGGCCAUUGUCAAGGAUGAGGAGGCCUUGGAGUUGCUCUUCCGCCUCUGUGGGAACGGCGAUUUCUGGCUCGGGCUGCGCAGACGGGGCGAGCGCCUGCAGUGGUUGGACAACAGCAGCUACAGCUUCCCGGAUUAUGUCCACGGUGAUUCUGAGUGUGUGUACCUGGCUGACAAGAGAUUGAAGACUGGGAACUGCUCCGAGAAGCGGCCGUAUCUCUGCAGCAAGCCCGAAGGUCCCCUGUAACAGCAGCUGCACAAAGGACCUUCUCCACACUGGGCAGUGCCAGGGAGCUCAGCUUCAUCGCUGAGCCCAGCACAGCGCUGUCCUUCCUCAGCUGCACCCUGUGCCUUGCACUUCCUCUCAGGGUCACCUCAGUGCCAACGCUGGGCUGGGGCUGCAAAGGAAAAGUCUCUGCAAUCCAUCCUUCCACUGGUGCUGCCUGCAUUGAGUGCAGUGC